UAUAUGCAGUUAUUACUCAGAUGAAGCCACGAGACAUAGAACUGCCCCCUCCCCCACCAACAGAAGUCAGUUAGAAACAGGGGCUCUCAGGGAGUAACUGAUACUUUCAUUAUUUAUGGCUUGGUUUCCUGGUAUCUACUAUCUUUUUCCCUUUCUUCUUCUUUUUUUUUUUUUAACUGAUCUUAAUAUUAUUUUGAAGAUCAAUGUGUCAUGUAGCUGUUUACACAGUGGUCAGUUUGGUGAUUUCCUCUCCACAGAGGGAGGCUCCCUCGGGGUUUUUUUCCGUGAUCUCGGAAGUCUCUCCCAAGUGGUCCUGGGCUCCACCGAUGAGCAAGUCACAGGCACCCACUUGCCUUCACUAGGCCUAGUACCCUCCCCCGCCCUCUGGACACCUUCCUUCUUACAUCUGGAACAUUUUUUACCUUUCUACUAAACUGUGGCCCCUGUCCCCAGCACUAACCCCCAAAAGAAGCAUUCUGAGAAGUAACUGUUGAUUCAGGUUUCACACUGGGACACACAGGAGAACAGAGCUAUAGUUAGUCAAGGCUCUGUUCUCAAAAUUCAGAGGAAAACAUCCUCAUUGAGCUGUUUAUUAUACUCCUCGACCAGGCUUGGAAACACGCUGUCCUUCUGUCCAGGACAAGGCCAGGACUCAUAGCUGGUGGAAAGGAGAGAGUGCCCUGAGCAGCAACACAGGCCUGGGCUGAUGGAGACCUGUGUAGUGCCUCCCCCAGCCCACAGCAGAAUGAAGUCUCCCCAGAGAAGAAGACUGGCUUUAUGAGGGGUCUCCAACCUUUCUUCAGCACUCAGCUCUUCCGUUUUCUUCUUCCCAGGGGCACUCCCAGCAGAAUUCACACACCCUGGCUGCUUUGAAAUGGGACAGGAAGAAGGCCAUGCACCUCCCUCUGGAGAGGUCAUGAGGAACACAGUGUGAUCAAGAAAAGCACCGGGUAGCUAGAAACCAGGCAUGAAACAACUUCAUCUGCCCAGGAUUGGUGCUCAAGACCACAGGGCCUGUCUGCGGCACGGCUUGACAGCGCACCCCCAGCUUCCUUUUUCUGGAAACCCUCUCCCACUCAGCGGCUUCUCCUGCCCAGCUCAUGCACAAUGUGGCUGGAUUUUUCUGCCCACUGCUCUGCCUGCCAAGGAGGCAUCAGUCCAUAUUAUUUCCUUAUGCUGUCAAUAAACUUCACCUUCUGUAGUGA